UGCAAACUGCGAAUACCGGAGAAUGUUAUCACGGGAGACACACGGCGGGUGCUAACGUCCGUCGUGAAGAGGGAAACAACCCAGACCGCCAGCUAAGGUCCCAAAGUCAUGGUUAAGUGGGAAACGAUGUGGGAAGGCCCAGACAGCCAGGAUGUUGGCUUAGAAGCAGCCAUCAUUUAAAGAAAGCGUAAUAGCUCACUGGUCGAGUCGGCCUGCGCGGAAGAUGUAACGGGGCUAAACCAUGCACCGAAGCUGCGGCAGCGACGCUUAUGCGUUGUUGGGUAGGGGAGCGUUCUGUAAGCCUGUGAAGGUGUGCUGUGAGGCAUGCUGGAGGUAUCAGAAGUGCGAAUGCUGACAUAAGUAACGAUAAAGCGGGUGAAAAGCCCGCUCGCCGGAAGACCAAGGGUUCCUGUCCAACGUUAAUCGGGGCAGGGUGAGUCGACCCCUAAGGCGAGGCCGAAAGGCGUAGUCGAUGGGAAACAGGUUAAUAUUCCUGUACUUGGUGUUACUGCGAAGGGGGGACGGAGAAGGCUAUGUUGGCCGGGCGACGGUUGUCCCGGUUUAAGCGUGUAGGCUGGUUUUCCAGGCAAAUCCGGAAAAUCAAGGCUGAGGCGUGAUGACGAGGCACUACGGUGCUGAAGCAACAAAUGCCCUGCUUCCAGGAAAAGCCUCUAAGCAUCAGGUAACAUCAAAUCGUACCCCAAACCGACACAGGUGGUCAGGUAGAGAAUACCAAGGCGCUUGAGAGAACUCGGGUGAAGGAACUAGGCAAAAUGGUGCCGUAACUUCGGGAGAAGGCACGCUGAUAUGUAGGUGAAGUCCCUCGCGGAUGGAGCUGAAAUCAGUCGAAGAUACCAGCUGGCUGCAACUGUUUAUUAAAAACACAGCACUGUGCAAACACGAAAGUGGACGUAUACGGUGUGACGCCUGCCCGGUGCCGGAAGGUUAAUUGAUGGGGUCAGCGCAAGCGAAGCUCUUGAUCGAAGCCCCGGUAAACGGCGGCCGUAACUAUAACGGUCCUAAGGUAGCGAAAUUCCUUGUCGGGUAAGUUCCGACCUGCACGAAUGGCGUAAUGAUGGCCAGGCUGUCUCCACCCGAGACUCAGUGAAAUUGAACUCGCUGUGAAGAUGCAGUGUACCCGCGGCAAGACGGAAAGACCCCGUGAACCUUUACUAUAGCUUGACACUGAACAUUGAGCCUUGAUGUGUAGGAUAGGUGGGAGGCUUAGAAGUGUGGACGCCAGUCUGCAUGGAGCCGACCUUGAAAUACCACCCUUUAAUGUUUGAUGUUCUAACGUUGACCCGUAAUCCGGGUUGCGGACAGUGUCUGGUGGGUAGUUUGACUGGGGCGGUCUCCUCCUAAAGAGUAACGGAGGAGCACGAAGGUUGGCUAAUCCUGGUCGGACAUCAGGAGGUUAGUGCAAUGGCAUAAGCCAGCUUGACUGCGAGCGUGACGGCGCGAGCAGGUGCGAAAGCAGGUCAUAGUGAUCCGGUGGUUCUGAAUGGAAGGGCCAUCGCUCAACGGAUAAAAGGUACUCCGGGGAUAACAGGCUGAUACCGCCCAAGAGUUCAUAUCGACGGCGGUGUUUGGCACCUCGAUGUCGGCUCAUCACAUCCUGGGGCUGAAGUAGGUCCCAAGGGUAUGGCUGUUCGCCAUUUAAAGUGGUACGCGAGCUGGGUUUAGAACGUCGUGAGACAGUUCGGUCCCUAUCUGCCGUGGGCGCUGGAGAACUGAGGGGGGCUGCUCCUAGUACGAGAGGACCGGAGUGGACGCAUCACUGGUGUUCGGGUUGUCAUGCCAAUGGCACUGCCCGGUAGCUAAAUGCGGAAGAGAUAAGUGCUGAAAGCAUCUAAGCACGAAACUUGCC
rnacentral:rRNA from 1 species